AACGAACGCUGGCGGCAUGCCUAACACAUGCAAGUCGAACGAGACCUUCGGGUCUAGUGGCGCACGGGUGCGUAACGCGUGGGAAUCUGCCCUUGGGUUCGGAAUAACAGUUGGAAACGACUGCUAAUACCGGAUGAUGACGUAAGUCCAAAGAUUUAUCGCCCAAGGAUGAGCCCGCGUAGGAUUAGCUAGUUGGUGAGGUAAAGGCUCACCAAGGCGACGAUCCUUAGCUGGUCUGAGAGGAUGAUCAUCCACACUGGGACUGAGACACGGCCCAGACUCCGACGGGAGGCAGCAGUGGGGAAUAUUGGACAAUGGGCGAAAGCCUGAUCCAGCAAUGCCGCGUGAGUGAGGAAGGCCUUAGGGUUGUAAAGCUCUUUUACCCGGGAUGAUAAUGACAGUACCGGGAGAAUAAGCUCCGGCUAACUCCGUG
rnacentral:rRNA from 1 species